CCGCUGGUUUCCUAGGAAUGACCUCUGCUGCCCUCUUCCAAGUGGCAAGUAAAUAUCAUCGUGUCUUUGAGUCAACAGGCACCCAGCUUGCCAGACUUCACCUCUGUGUGAGCAUCUGGCAGAAGUGAAAGGAAAUCAGGAACAAAUGAAUAUUCAAUCAGCCAGCACAAACAUCUGAGUGCAGAAUGGGACAUCUCUGUGCACAGCGGCUGUUUGAGCAGCAUUCCAUUUGACUGCUCCCUCCACAAUUGCCAGAUUACUGAGGAACUGCACAGGGCUAGACGGCAGCUCGUAAUUCCCUUACUUUUCCAUUGCAACUCCACACAGGAGAACGCAGCCCUUCCAUCAGCAGAUUUAUAAUGAGAAUGCGACCCUCUGGGGACUCUGUCAGUGUCUCCUGGCUUAGCUACUCAACUUGUGGAAGACACCUGGACUUGCUAGGAUAGUACAAGAAAAUGGCUCACAAUGGCAUGGCACCUCUCAUUGCACAAACCAGUUGCACCUUCACAGCUGGGCAGAUGAACUGCAUUCUACUGACGUUUGCAUGGUUUGGUUUGGUUUGGUUUUCCUUUUUCUCCCAUAACAAAGAAAA